ACGAUGAAGCCGGAGCUUGCUCUGGUGGAUUAGUGGCGAAGGGGAGGGUAACACGUGAGUAACCUGCCCUUGACUCUGGAAUAAGCGUUGGAAACGACGUCUAAUACUGGAUACGAGCUUCAGCCGCAUGGCUAGGAGCUGGAAAGAAUUUCGGUCAAGGAUGGACUCGCGGCCUAUCAGGUAGUUGGUGAGGUAAUGGCUCACCAAGCCUACGACGGGUAGCCGGCCUGAGAGGGUGACCGGCCACCCUGGAACUGAAACACGGUCCAGACUCCUACGGGAGGCAGCAGUGGGGAAUAUUGCACAAUGGGCGAAAGCCUGAUGCAUCAACGCCGCGUGAGGGACGACGGCCUUCGGGUUGUAAACCUCUUUUAGUAGGGAAGAAGCGAAAGUGACGGUACCUGCAGAAAAAGCACCGGCUAACUACGUGCCAGCAGCCGCGGUAAUACGUAGGGUGCAAGCGUUAUCCGGAAUUAUUGGGCGUAAAGAGCUCGUAGGCGGUUUGUCGCGUCUGCUGAGAAAACUGGAGGCUCAACCUCCAGCCUGCAGUGGGUACGGGCAGACUACAGUGCGGUAUGGGAGAUUGGAAUUCCUGGUGUAGCGGUGGAAUGCGCAGAUAUCAGGAGGAACACCAAUGGCGAAAGCAUAUC
rnacentral:rRNA from 1 species